GUGGGUAUAGCUCAGUGGUAGAGCAUGUGCUUGGAGUGCAUAAAGACCUAGAUUCAAUCUCCAGUCCUUCCG
rnacentral:tRNA from 1 species